AGUGAACGCUGGCGGUAGGCCUAACACAUGCAAGUCGAACGGCAGCACAGUAAGAGCUUGCUCUUACGGGUGGCGAGUGGAGGACGGGUGAGGAAUACAUCGGAAUCUACUUUUUCGUGGGGGAUAACGUAGGGAAACUUACGCUAAUACCGCAUACGACCUACGGGUGAAAGCAGGGGAUCUUCGGACCUUGCGCGAUUGAAUGAGCCGAUGUCGGAUUAGCUAGUUGGCGGGGUAAAGGCCCACCAAGGCGACGAUCCGUAGCUGGUCUGAGAGGAUGAUCAGCCACACUGGAACUGAGAAACGGUCCAGACUCCUACGGGAGGCAGCAGGGGGGAAUAUUGGACAAUGGGCGCAAGCCUGAUCCAGCCAUACCGCGUGGGUGAAGAAGGCCUUCGGGUUGUAAAGCCCUUUUGUUGGGAAAGAAAAGCAGCAGGUUAAUACCCCGCUGUUCUGACGGGACCCAAAGAAUAAGCACCGGCUAACUUCGU
rnacentral:rRNA from 1 species